AUGGCCUCUAAGUGUUCAAGUGAAAGGAGAAUUCAAACACCUCUUUAAAUCAAAAGCCUAGAAAGGCUUCUGCUUAGUAAAAAGGCAAGUCAAAAACCAGAGUAGGCUCACAUAAGCCUCUUGUUCCAAACAAUGUUCUAAUUCUUUUUUUAAAGGUAAGUUCUGGAAGAAAAUUGAAAUGCUAAUCCAGGGAGCAAACAAAGGGUAAGGAAGUUAGACAAACUGGGAGUUGAUCCAGGAAAGGCUUAGUGACUUGAAUGGGUCAGAUCAGCUACAUUCUUUUAAGUCAAGGCCCUCAGUUUCCUCUUUUCCAAAACACUGGACAGAAAUGAAGCCACAGAAGAGGAAUCGGCAGAGCUUGGUUCGUGAAAUUUAAGGAAAGACACUGUCUCCAUAACAUGAGGGGCAAGGGGAAGUAGCCAAAGCUGGUGCAGAACUGCCAGAGCCCCAGAAGACCCAGCUGAGAGGAGUGCAGAAGGUGGCGGUCACACAGGAAACAGAUAGUUGAUAGAGUUGAAAGAGCCUUCUAUUAGAAGAAGAUGCUAUCCAGGACUUACAUGGCUAAAGAGACACCAAGUCCUGACUGUGAAGGCCAAGCUAACUCUCUUCUGAGGGGCUAACACAGCUGAUGGCUUUAAUUUGCUCUGUCCAUGUAAAUGGGACAAGUCUGGGUAACACCACUUCUAUUUGCAGUGUGGUUCACUGGAUUUCUGAAGAGUUCACUUCAUAAAUCCAUAACUUCUAUAGCGAUUUCUCUGGUGGAUCUGGUUAGAAUAAAUUGGAACAUACAUCCAAAUAGAAUUUAUUUUUCUAGCCACAGGUAAGAAGAGUCAUGGUUUACAAAAGGAGAACAAACUAUCAACGCUAACGUGAGUCUGGGAGAUGUUGAUUCCGACCCUUGCAGCUGACUUUAAUAGCAUUGGAGAGUGCUGGGGGAGGGAACUGUAGCUGUAGCAGAAAUCCAGGAAGAAUUAGAAUUCCAUGUGGAACUUGGAGAUAGGGCUGGGCACCGCCACCUCCUGAUAAAACUAAAAGGUGAGAAGAUGAUGAUUUUGUUUCUUAAGGGUGAACAAAGAGAACGACAUUUUGGUUUUUGUUUUGUUUUGUUAUGUUUUUAGAGGUAAUCUACUCCUGCUGAUGAUGCUGUAAACACUGUUGGCAUGGCAACAGAUGAUUUAGACUACUGUAUGCACUUAGCAGCAGGACUUGAGAGGAUUGACUCCAGGUUUGAAAGAACUUCUACUGAGGGUAAAAUGCCGUCAAUCAAUAUGCGAGCUACAGAGAAAUCUUCCCUGAAAGGAAAAGUCAGCCAGUCCAGUAAACCUCAUUGUUUUCUUAUUUUAAGAAAUUUUCAUGGCCACCCUAACUUGCAGCAGCUGCCACCUCACCAGCCAGCAGUUAUUAUUGACAUCCAUAUCCACAGAAGACUCUCCACUGGCAAGAGGAUUGAUUAGA
rnacentral:lncRNA from 1 species